UACGUAGGGGCUAGCGUUGUCCGGAAUCAUUGGGCGUAAAGCGCGUGUAGGCGGUCCGGUAAGUCCGCUGUGAAAGUCGGGGGCUCAACCCUCGAAUGCCGGUGGAUACUGCCAGACUAGAGUACGGAAGAGGCGAGUGGAAUUCCUGGUGUAGCGGUGAAAUGCGCAGAUAUCAGGAGGAACACCGGUGGCGAAGGCGGCAUCCUGGACCGGUAUUGACGCUGAGGCGCGAAAGCUAGGGGAGCAAACGGG
rnacentral:rRNA from 1 species